AGUUGACAGAAAACGAGACAAUCCAGUAUCAGCAUAAUCAGCACCACAGGUUACAGUUUCUAGGAACUAGAGCACCAGUAGUUCUCACGUUAAGGUCUUGGAGGAGCUGUCCAUUGGAGAAGUGGCGGGUAGUUGCUUUUCUUCCCCUCCCCCUUAAUGGGACCUUCAGGGCGCUUAACCCCUUCAACUUGCUGUUUUUACUUGAAGUGUUUUGGGAUGGUCUUACCAGGGAGAGAGGGUGGGGGGGAAAUGUUUUUUUCUAAGAUUUUCCACAGAUGCUAUAGUACUAUUGCCAAACUGGGUUAGAGAAGGAGUGUGCGCACGCCUGUGCUGUUGGCACCAACACCUUCAGGUACUGGAGCUGCUUUUAUCCCUCCCUGGACGAGUAUUCCCAGUUGAAGCUGAAAAGUACAGCACAGUGCAGCUUUGGUUCAUGCUCAGUCAACUCAGGAGAACUUCAGAAGAGCUUGACUAGGCCAGAUGUUGAAGUUAAGUUUUCAAGUAAUGUGCCUUUUAACAUGCUUUAUUAAAGGGGAGGGGCAGACGUUGGCAAUUAGCAGUUGGCAGUGACCUGUUCAUGGUUGGGGCGGGGGGGUCGGGUUAGGUAAUUGUUUAGUUUAUGAUUGCAGAUAACUCAUGCCAGAAAACUUAAAAUCUUAGAAUGGAGUACGAAAUCUCAACUUCCAAGUUGGCAAGUAACUCCCAAGUUCUUGUUUUCCCUCAAUUUUUGAAUUGGGCAGCUCGGGAAGUUUACGAAGAGCCACUGGGUGUACCAGUGCAUUAAUUUGGACAAGGAAAGCACUAUAAUUUGCCAGGUUCUCUGUUCCCCUCAAAGUACACUUGGGGGAAAGUGUUAGACUGGGGGUUGGUCUGGCCCCCGGGACUGACGUUAGCAACAACCUUGGGAGUAUUUUAAAAAAUGCAAAAGUUGUCUGGAUAUGGUAGUGUGUGGUUCUCUUUUGGAAUUUUUUUCAGGUGACUUAAUGUAACUUAAUACUACUAUAGAAACUUCAGAGCAAAGGAAGUGGCUUAAUGAUCCUGAAGGGAUUUCUUCUCAUGGUAGCUUUUAUAUUCUCAAGUAAGAAUCUAUUCUCAGUUGUGUGUAAGCCGAGUUUUUUUGUAGUGUAGGAGGUAUUUUUCCAUUGUAUGACUGCAGAACACGAUGUUAAGGUACGCUUCAAAAGUCUGUAAAUUGUGUAUUUUAAGUUUGUGUCUAUUUGUAACUCAAGACUGAUUAAGAAUUGUGAUUGGUUCAGUUUGAAUGUCUCUUAGAGGGUGGGCCUUUGUUGAUGAGGGAGGGGAAACUUUGUUUUUGUAGACUUUUUUCAGAUAACGUCUUCUGAGUCAUAACCAGCCUGGCAGUGUGAUGGCCUAGAUGCAGUGGGAUCCGCUCCUUGGUGAAUGAUAAGUAAAGGCAGAAAAGAUGACAUGUCACGCCCCACUGGGGAAUGAGCAUAACCCUGAGGUCCUCACUACUGAUGAAAACGUUGUCUGCGUAUGCCAAAAAAAAAAAAAAAAAAAAAUUAAGCAAACGAAAGCCACCAAUUUAAAGUUAUGGAAUCUACCAUUUUAAAGUUAUGGCUUGUCAAGCUAUACCCACACAAAUAAUGAAUUGAUGAGAAAUGCAAUGAAGAUCAGAUGUCCAUCUCAAAACUGCUUUUACAAAAGCAGAAUUUUAAAAAGAUGAAAUGAAAAUGAUUAUACUACAUUAAUCCUGGAAUCAAAGAAGCCGAAAUAAAUGAGUUGGGAUCAAGCGGAUUGAGGAGGCUGUGCUGGGUGCCAAUCUUUCGUUUGCCUCAGACAGGUUUCUCUUCGUUAUCAGAAGAGUUGCUUCAUUUCUUCUGGGAGCAGAAAACAGCAGGCAGCUGUUAACAGAUAAGUUUAUAACUUGCAUCUGCAGUAUUGCAUGUUAGGGAUAAGUACUAUUUUUAAGAGCUGUGGAGUUCUUACGUAUCAACCAUAGCACUUUAUCCUGACCCUUUCUCUAGGGGAUUUCAGGAUUGUGAGGAAUUUUCCCAUCCAGGCUUUUAAGAUUAGACGUAGGACUUGUGCCUGUGGGUUUACCUGAUGGGCUAGUACACCUCACUUAGAGGCGUUCUGCAUCUUUUAAUUUCUUAAAAGCCUCUAAAGUGAUUCGUGCCUUAAUCAUAAUGCUUAUAAAACGAAGGGAGUUUAUUUAAUCAUUGAAUCUCCGAAGGCCCUAUGAAGAGGAUAGCAUGAGUGCUAUGUUAAGAAUCAGAUGUUGAGCGUGCUAAAAUUUAAAUGUUGUGUUGUGAUAUGUAUUGUGUAGAAAACCAUUAAAUCAUUCAAAAUAAUAAACUAUUUUUACUAGAGAUGUAUAUUUUUAGAAAGCUGUCUCCUUAUUUAAAUAAAAUAUUGUUAUUGUCUGUAGUUAGUGUCGGGGCAAUCUUGGGGGGAUUCUUCUCUAAUCUUUCAGAAACUUUGUCUGCGAACACUCUUUAAUGGACCAGAUCAGGAAUUGAGCGGAAGAACGAAUGUAACUUUCUUAAGGCAGGAAAGACAAAUUUUAUUCUUCAUAAAGUGAUGAGCAUAUAAUUCCAGGCACAUGGCAAUAUAGAGGCCCUCUAAAUAAGGAAUAAAAUACCUCUUAGACAGGUGGGAGAUUAUGAUCAGAGGAAAAGGUAACUUACAAUUUUGUUUCCAGAAAGUCAGCGGGCUAAUAAUUUGGAGUGUCAAACUAGAGUGAUUAAAAUACUUUCCCACAUCUCCAAAGUUUGCAUGUCAACUCGAAAUGCUUAGGAUCUUCAAGUGUUAGACAAUGUUUUACGCUGCUGGCGUGGGGGGCCUUGUGGGUUUUUAAAGAAUUUUCCUUUACAGAGGCUUCAUUUCAUCCUUCACGAAGUUGUUCAGGAUUUUGACUUGCAUAUGAGUGCUUGGCUCUUCAUCUUCUAGCUUCACAGAGAAUGCAGUUGUCUUGACCUCAGGUCUGUCUGUUCUGUUGGCAAGUAAUUACGCAGUACUGUUCUGAUCUGCUGCUAUUAGAAUGUAUUGUGAAACGACUGAAGUAUGAUGAAAAGUUGUGCUCCCCAUGCUUGGAGUAGUGGUUGUUGGAGGAAAAUCCAGCUGAGUGAUAAAUAAAGGCUGAGUGUUGUGAGGAAAUUACCUCCAGCUUGUAAGCAGUCUGUUGUGAUUGAAGCUGAGAAUACCCUUUGCUGUGCUGCUUUAGGUAAAAUGCUUUUUGUUCAUUUCCGGGUGGGGGGCACUGAAGCCUUUAGUCUUUUCCAGAUGCAACCUUAAAAUCAGUGACAAGAACCAAAUUCCAAACAAGCAAGCCUUCAAGAAAUGUAACUGGCAAGUGGAUAUGUUUACCAGUUCAGUGAUCUUAGUGCAUUGUUUUUGUGUGGGUUUCUCUCUCCCCUCCCUUGGUCUUAAUUCUUACAUGCAGGAACAUUCAGAACAGCAACAUACGUAUGCGAAGGGCCAGAGAAGCCAGACCCAGUAAGAAAAAAUAGCUCAUUUACUUUAAACAAAUCAAACAUUCCAUUUUAAAUGUGGGGAUUGGGAACCACUAGUUCUUUCAGAUGGUAUUCUUCAGACUAUAGAAGGAGCUUCCAGUUGAAUUCACCAGAAGACAAAAUGAGGACAACAGGUGAACAAGCUUUUUCUAUGUUUGCAUUCAAAGUCAGAUCAGUUUCAGGAAAAAAGCCAAGUGUUGAAUAGGCCAGCUUUAUGCUGCAGUUUAGCAGGUGAGCGAGUUGUGUGUUGGCGCGGGGGUGGAGGGGUGAGGUGGGCGCUAAGCCUUUUCUUAAGAUUUUUCAGGUACCCCUCACUAAAGGCAUCGAAGGCUUAAAAGUAGGACAACCAUGGAGCCUUCCUGUGGCAAGAGAGACAACAAAGCGCUUUUAUACUAAGGUCAAAGUGGCAUCGGCCUCAUAACCCAGUUUUUGCUAGCAAUAAGGACCUGCCUCAACACCCACUUUCCAGAGUGAAGCUUCCAAAGGAAUGCUUGAGUGUCCGUGGGCUUCCCUUAACGUUUUGCAAGCUGUUUUUAUAGCAGCUUUUAGCCAGGCCCACAUCUCAAGUGGUGCUUGACGGGGAGGGAAAGGGGGAAAGCGGGCAACCAGUUUUCCCAAACUUUUCCAGCAGCCUGUUAAAAACGAGGCCUCCCCACAAGCGACUUCUCUGCCACGUCGCCACCCCCUGCCUUUGGCCUAGCACAGACCCUUCACCCCUCACCUCGAUGCAGCCGGUAGCUUGGAUCCUUGUGUGGGCAUGAUCCUUAAUCGGUUUCAAGGUAACAGUGGUGCCGAGGUCUCGGGCGGGUUGCACUCGACUAGAAAAGCCCAUUAAUUUGCCUGCGGAUUGUUAACAGAACGUUAUUGAAACCACAUCCAAGUAGCUCUAAGGUGUUUGACAUAUCAUAACACUUACCCAUCGACUAAAACCACCUUAAACCAUUAAGUGAAGAACUGCCUUGUUGGGUGGGAACGUCUUAACUUGCAGCCAGAAGGAGAUAGGCAUUUUAGUGGUUGAGGGCUGUUGGGGAGGUAUGCACAAUUUCUCUGCUAAGACUUUUUCAGGUGAACAUAACAGACUUGGCCAAGCUAGCAUCUUAGCGGAAGCAGAUUCUCCAAAGCUCUUCAGUAGGGCUGUGAAGGUUUUUCUUUUCCUGAGAUAACAAAAAUCUUUUUGUUAUCUCAGGUUUUGCUUUUUGGCCUUUUCCUAGCUUUAAAAAAAAAAAGCAAAAGAUGCUGGUGGUUGGCACUCCUGGUUUCCAGGACGGGGUUCAAAUCCCUGCGGCGUCUUUGCUUCACUGUAAUGCCAGUCUUCCGGGCUCUUUCCAUUUUCCCCCUCCUGGCAGGGGCUAGGCUCUGGCGCCUGGAAAGUGGAAGGUAACCGUACGGUACUUUCACACUAGACAUUCCCUGAUGUUGCGUUUGUCACAAGCCUGACUUGAUUGUGUGUUUGAAUUACAUGAAAACCUCAUGUGACUGACUUGUAUUUCAUUUUCAGGUAUUCCCUGUGCAGCUAGUGCUUGGAGAAUGCCUACUGUUGAAAACUUGCGAUUCCAUGUAAUAAAGAAUGGAAAGGUCUAA